GGAUUAGAUACCCUGGUAGUCCACGCUGUAAACGAUGUCAACUAGCCGUUGGAGGACUUGAUCUUUUAGUGGCGCAGCUAACGCGAUAAGUUGACCGCCUGGGGAGUACGGCCGCAAGGUUAAAACUCAAAUGAAUUGACGGGGGCCCGCACAAGCGGUGGAGCAUGUGGUUUAAUUCGAUGCAACGCGAAGAACCUUACCAGGUCUUGACAUCCUGAGAAUUCUGUAGAGAUACGGGAGUGCCUUCGGGAAUUCAGAGACAGGUGCUGCAUGGCUGUCGUCAGCUCGUGCUG
rnacentral:rRNA from 1 species